rnacentral:rRNA from 1 species
AUUGAACGCUGGCGGCAGGCCUAACACAUGCAAGUCGAGCGGAUGAAGGGAGCUUGCUCCUGGAUUCAGCGGCGGACGGGUGAGUAAUGCCUAGGAAUCUGCCUGGUAGUGGGGGAUAACGUCCGGAAACGGGCGCUAAUACCGCAUACGUCCUGAGGGAGAAAGUGGGGAUCUUCGGACCUCACGCUAUCAGGUGAGCCUAGGUCGGAUUAGCUAGUUGGUGGGGUAAAGGCCUACCAAGGCGACGAUCCGUAACUGGUCUGAGAGGAUGAUCAGUCACACUGGAACUGAGACACGGUCCAGACUCCUACGGGAGGCAGCAGUGGGGAAUAUUGGACAAUGGGCGAAAGCCUGAUCCAGCCAUGCCGCGUGUGUGAAGAAGGUCUUCGGAUUGUAAAGCACUUUAAGUUGGGAGGAAGGGCAGUAAGUUAAUACCUUGCUGUUUUGACGUUACCAACAGAAUAAGCACCGGCUAACUUCGU